AUUAAGAAACUAAAAUAUCUAAAAGAAUUGAUAACCAACAUAAUUCUAAUUAAGAACCUAAACCAACACACAAAAGGCUACCAAACCAAAAUCAUAAAUUUAUCAAUUAUCAAUUAUGCAACAAACUAACGACCCGCGAAGUUAUCCCUUAUGUACCAUACUUACAUUCACUUAUGCUUGAUGUUGAACAUGUGUUAGCUUUCCUCUCGUGAGUUUGAAUCUGCAGAGAUUUUGUAAUCUCUACUAAGAUACAACUCAAAAUAUAAGUAUAUGAACCUGACUCACAUCAGAUUGUCCAUGUUUAUGUUUAUAUGGUGAUUAAUUAUCAAACAAUUGGUUAUAUCUUCAUGUUAGACUUCAUGUUAGAUAGAUUAUUGAAAAAGACAACUAAUACGAAAUCAAUCUAGACUUCAUGUGAGUUAGUUGGUGUGCCCAGACUCUCUCUCGCAUAUUGGGACCAAAUCAGAAUUUGUAACAUGAUCAUCUCAAGAUAGUAAUACUUUCUCCUUUUUCGUUAGUGCAAAAUAGAACUUGAAACUGAGAUUGAAAGAUUUGUAUAUUUAUAAGCUUUGUAAUACUGAACAUGUUAUUGGGAUCUUUUUUCUUAUAGAUGCCAUAAGAAUUUUUCCUUUUUCAUUAGUGUAUUUGUGAAUUUGAAAUUGGGAGUGAUCCGAGUUAAAGCUUUAUAUAUA
rnacentral:lncRNA from 1 species